UCAACCAUCUCAACGUCGAGAUCGGAUCAAUAUCAUAUCUUAACAGAUUUAAUAUGAUGAACCCAACAAACAACUCAGAGCGCCUAUAAAAGAUACUAUCGACUAAGAUGAGGAACGAUUCAGAGUAGAAGCGGCGGAACCACUCCUCAAGCACGGCUCGUUAGUCGUUACUGGUGGUGGAUCUGUAAGCCGCGUGGAUAUGGAGUUGAUUUUGCUUAGUGAUUUUUCUCUAUAAGUCGCAACUGAUGGUUGAUUUUGACAAGAGUUGGAUUUCAUAGGUAGUCUUCUCCGAUUAUCUUCCGCACCAAUGGAGCUCUGUUCACUCCCGCAUAGAUAUAUUGAUUUGGCGAAACUGAAAAUCAUAACCAAACACCACCAGAUUGGAAUUCAGUCUUGGUUGAACAAAUUUGGUGAAGUCAAAAGCUUAUCUUUUUUCUUUUCAAUUCCUUCUUUUGCUUUACAAUAGCUUGUUAGUGGACUGGUGUAUUAUGGGUAAGAGUUGUUGGUGAGGCAUUGAUGAU